UAUUCUGAAAGCUCUAUAUAUUUACAAAAAUAUAUACAAGUUCAAACAUUGUUUGGAACAACUGAAACAGACAUUAAUUUGAGAUUGUAACUAUUAUAAAAAUUUAUUCUAAAAAAGUUUUCUUUUUUAUAGCUUUAUUAUACCGGUAUAUGACUGUGGGCUGACAAUAGUUUUUCUGUUUUAUUUUUGGAAUGCUUGUCAUUUAUCUACAGUCACAUAGAUAUAAGUAUUUUUAUGUACUAUAGUACCAUCUUAUGGUCACAACAAAAGCAUAACAUGUAACAAA